GUCAGCGUGGUGUAGUGGUUUGAGCAUUAGACUAGGACACCGGAGAUCAGGGUUCAAUUCCUGGCUCUGCCA